rnacentral:tRNA from 1 species
AGGAGCGUAGUAUAAUGGUAGUAUAGUUGAUUCCAAUCCAAUUUGUGGGAGUUCGAUUCUUCCCGCUCCUG